GACGAACGCUGGCGGCGUGCUUAACACAUGCAAGUCGAGCGGUAAGGCCCUUUCGGGGGUACACGAGCGGCGAACGGGUGAGUAACACGUGGGUGACCUGCCCUCAGCUCUGGGAUAAGCCUGGGAAACCGGGUCUAAUACCGGAUAUGACUCCAUGACGCAUGUUGUGGGGUGGAAAGCCUUGUGCGGCUGAGGAUGGGCCCGCGGCCUAUCAGCUUGUUGGUGGGGUGAUGGCCUACCAAGGCGACGACGGGUAGCCGGCCUGAGAGGGCGACCGGCCACACUGGGACUGAGACACGGCCCAGACUCCUACGGGAGGCAGCAGUGGGGAAUAUUGGACAAUGGGCGAAAGCCUGAUCCAGCGAUGCCGCGUGUGUGAAGAAGGCCUGCGGGUUGUAAAGCAC
rnacentral:rRNA from 1 species